rnacentral:rRNA from 1 species
CGAGUGAAGCGGCAAGAGCUCAGAUUUGAAAUCGUGCUUUGCGGCACGAGUUGUAGAUUGCAGGUUGGAGUCUGUGUGGAAGGCGGUGUCCAAGUCCCUUGGAACAGGGCGCCCAGGAGGGUGAGAGCCCCGUGGGAUGCCGGCGGAAGCAGUGAGGCCCUUCUGACGAGUCGAGUUGUUUGGGAAUGCAGCUCCAAGCGGGUGGUAAAUUCCAUCUAAGGCUAAAUACUGGCGAGAGACCGAUAGCGAACAAGUACUGUGAAGGAAAGAUGAAAAGCACUUUGAAAAGAGAGUGAAACAGCACGUGAAAUUGUUGAAAGGGAAGGGUAUUGCGCCCGACAUGGGGAUUGCGCACCGCUGCCUCUCGUGGGCGGCGCUCUGGGCUUUCCCUGGGCCAGCAUCGGUUCUUGCUGCAGGAGAAGGGGUUCUGGAACGUGGCUCUUCGGAGUGUUAUAGCCAGGGCCAGAUGCUGCGUGCGGGGACCGAGGACUGCGGCCGUGU